GACGGAGGGGGCUAGCGUUAUUCGGAAUUACUGGGCGUAAAGGGCGCGUAGGCGGAUUAGUAAGUUGGGGGUGAAAGCCCGGGGCUUAGCCUCGGAACUGCUUUCAAAACUGCUAGUCUUGAGUGAAGUAGGGGGUGAUGGAAUUCCUAGUGUAGAGGUGAAAUUCUUAGAUAUUAGGAGGAACACCGGUGGCGAAGGCGGUCACCUGGACUUCAACUGACGCUGAGGCGCGAAAGCGUGGGGAGCAAACAGG
rnacentral:rRNA from 1 species